ACAUGCGCUCGCUUCUCCUCCCCCAUCCGCACGCGCCAGUUGCCGUGCUCGCUUCUCUCUCUCUCCCCCCCCCCCCGCAUUCCCCGUGCGCGCCAGCCGUGAGCCCACGAGGCCAUUCGCACCAAGCCAUGAAGCGCCGCUCAUCCGUUUGGGAGACAGAUCGGUCGUGGGAGGGCAAGUGGGUGCGAUGGCGAUCCGUGCAGCUCGAUGGUGGUGGGGGCCGGAGUCGCGUCACGCCCCGGCGCCAUCCGCCCCGCCGUGGCGGCGCAGGCGGAGGAGGCGAAACCCUAGCGUGGGGAGAUGAGAUACAAAAAUAUUUGUUUGGCAACUUGAGGAGAAGCUUGACAAUUGAAGCAGAUAACCUUGCUCGGUAUGUCUACUGUUCAACUCAACAUAUAUUUUUCAUAUCUUCUGUACAUCUCUUCUCUAAUUUAUCUUUGCAAUAUCAUUUCAUAUUCCAGUUACAACUUAUGGAUAUACUCCUACAUUUAGCAAAUAUGAUAGUUACUUCCGAUAUUUGUAAAUAUAUAAUCAGAAUUAGUUAAUUCUGAAUUGAAUUGGUUCUUUGCCCUGAGUGCUGAUUUUAGUUCCUCAAAAAAAGUAUCUGAAUUUAUUCUAUUUGGUAAGCCUAAAUUUGCCAUGAAUUUUGCCCACAUUCUAUUUGAGCAUACAUUAUGAUUUGAACCAAGUAGGAGCACUGUUAAAGUUUUGUGAAUUGGUUUCUCUAAACCUAAGAAAGAAUCCCUACCCUAUGCACUGUUGUUGUUUCAGUUUCUUAAGAAAGGAUUUCUAAUACUUGCAGUGGAUACUUAUAUGUCCUAUAACUCUAAUUAAUUUGAGCAGUUGGAGAGCAACCAGAGGAUUGGUAUAUAGAUGUCCUGACAUAGCGAGACUAAUGUUGUGAUUAUGACUAUAAAUUUGAAACUUCUUGCAAUCCAAAUGAGUAUUCUGUGUUCAGUGCUUUUAGCAAUUGAUGCAAAUAUCACAUUUAAUUGCUCAAGUAGCAGAACUAUUCACUUAUAUCUCGAUUCUUCCAUCUAUAUUUUUUAUACAUUUUAAUAUUGUGUGCAUAUAGCUAAAUCUAAAGGAGUUUUUGUUGUUUCUGAUAUUUGCAGGUUUUUGAAAUUGUAUACUACACUAUAUUCCUGUUUGAUUUUUCAUGUCUUUCAAGCAAUAAAACAGAGCUCCACAUUAUUGGUUUAUGAGCUUGAUGCAGUUUCAAGUAUUUCUUACUUGAGUACAUAUUUUGCCAAUCAAUUUUUUUUCAUGUUCAAACAAUACAAUCUGAUUGUUCAUACUUCAAUGCACAUUUCAUGUUUUCUAAUGUGCCCGCGGCAACGCGCGGGGCUUCAUCUAGUAUCAAUUAGAAUAAUAAUACCACACUCCAGAGCAUGCUAAUCUGACAAUUUGUUUUGAACGGCAACAAAAGCUUUGCCAUUUAUAUUAACAGAGAAGGAGAAAAAGGAAACACAUAUACAGUGGUACUAAAAUUCCACCCCUGCAAAAGAACCGCGAGUUAGGUGAUCUCUCCCAAAACAUGUAAUUCUCCAACGUCGCAGCACCCGCUUUGACCCAAGUCCUAGCUUCCUCUUUUUAUCUUAGCCACAAUCGUGGUAGGAGUUGAUGCUUGGUGACAGAAGAUCUGUUAAUGCGACAAUGGGAACUAUGGGGAUUACCGAUUACAGGAAUGAGAAUGCUGAAACAUCAAUAGUAUCA